AUGCUUAGUGAAUCCUGGUUGGUAAGUUAUGAAGGUGGCUGUGUUUGCAGGCUCAGGAUUGGAGCUGCUGCACAGAGCAGGCCGCCUUUUCCAAACCGCAUCAGUGCGUUCGAGAAGGCUGUGCGGAGUUAUGAUGAGAACACAACCGACAAUGUUAUCACACUAGUUAUCGGCACAACAUUCGACUCAGUGGGUGAGGCGUAUGACUUCUACAGUUUGUACUCAUGGGAGAAGGGAUUUGGCAUUCGUUAUGGGAAGAGCGGGCUCAAUGUGGAGAGGACCAAAAGCAUGCAGGAAAUAGCUUGUGGUUGCUCGGUGAGUGUGAGAAAAUUUAUUUUCUGUGCUGGGACAUAA
rnacentral:rRNA from 1 species